UGAGUGAGUGAGAAACAAGGGAAUCGUAUCCUCAAGUAAGUCUCGAAAAUCUAUUCGAGACUUACUUGAGGAUACGUGAGGAUCUUAGUUGAGCAGUAU